rnacentral:lncRNA from 1 species
GGGCCAGUCAAGGAUCCCCCAAUCAGUGCCAUCACAAUAUCAAAUCUAGGCACAGAUUCUCCUACAGCUACUCCAAGAAAGACAAUAGCUGAUCUUAUGGCACAUCUUUUCCAUCCAAAAUCUGUGACAAAAAGCUGAAUGACCAAGAGCACUAGAAAGACAUAGCUGAAGAGCUGCAAAAAGAACAGCAGCACUCACUGUGAAGUUUCCUGGAAUUACUUGCAGAACAUUAGCUGUUGUACUACCUCCAUACUUCCAAACGGUUAAAAUUGUAGUAACAAUAAAUAAUGAACUGCUGACUGUAACGAAUAAUCAGUGUAGUCAUCAUAAUAUAUAGAAUAAUAGUUCAAUUAUAUUAAUGAUUUACCUAAGAAGGAAAUUACGACUGCCUUAUUGAUGUCUUGAGGACGAUGCAUAUCCACUUGUACAGUCAUCAAUGUUGGAUGUACAUCAAAUUGAAAGGCUAACAUUCCAUAACUGAAAAAUUAUUUAAUAAUAAACGUUAAAUAUGUGAAAUGAAAUAGCUAAUAAGUAAACUUGCCCAGAAAUAAACUUCUCCCAGCUAGGAGAUGUGGCUACUGGGAUAAUAUCAAGCUCUCGGUCAUCGGUAACUAUACUCCACCAUAUUAAUAGCGCCGUCAAUAGAACCAUUGUGCAGGAGAAUGUAGCCAAUAUUCUGCAAGUAUUUAUAUUAUUCAAACAAACUGUAUUUCAGUUUCAUGAAGUAUAAUUUACAUAAAAUUGUAAUGAGAAUUACUUCAUAUCACGGGGACUGCCAAGCCACAUUAUUGGACAUAAAAGAACGCCCACAAUUAGGAGCCAAUAGCAGAAAGAUAGAUCAAAUCGUUGUCCCGAAAUUUUUAGUCCGAAAAUUUGCAAAUUCUGCGAAGCUGAAAUUUACAAAUGUUAAACAUAGAUCAACUUUUUACUUAGAAUUUUGAUCAACUUACCAACCAAUAAGUUAGGUAUACUGCAACCAAAAACUGUAAAGUCCAGGAUUAUAGUAACCAAGGUUCUCGCACGAGGACCCAAGGUCAAUUCGGUUACGGCCGCAAGAGGAUUUCUGUAAAAAUUAAUUCAAGUAAAGAUCACUAUCGUCAAUGAACAUAAAAUUAAAAUAAAAAAAUUAAAUCUUACCGAUUUUUUCUUAAAAUUUGCGGAUCUAGAGUGCUUACGAUAAUCCAUGUUUUACCAAGCAGAACAGCCGUAUAGAUUUGUAAAACCAAUACGAUAAAGACCAAAGGAAUCCCAUACAAUCCUAAAAAGACUUAACGUGCUCGUCUUGUUCUUUUAUUAAUAGUACUUCAUAAUUUUAUCGAAAAACAUCUUUAUGUUCUCAUGUAAGAAUUAUGUAAACAUGCGAUCACAAUAAUAUAAGAUGUAGUAACAAGAAUUGCUGACAGAUCAUAAUAGGUCAAAUAACAAAAAAAGGAUUAACAAGUAAACCAACUUUAUUUUUAUUUAAAAUGACCAAUUUUCUUACACGACAUCUCGCGUUAAAAAAUUUCUCUUAUAAUAAUCGUCAUUGAAUAAUGAAUAUAAUAAAUCAAUUAUAUAAAUCGCUCCAUUUUAAAUAAAAUGUUCUACGAAACAAAUAUGCAAGUUAUAUCAUACAUACAAUCCAGUUAUAUUUGUAUAUCAAUACAUAUGUAUAUAUAUUUUACAAAAUAGUUAUAGUUGAUCUGGAUAAUAUAUACUUAAAAAUACAUUACAAACAGAAAAAUUACUUAAUGCUAAAAAGAUAAUUUAACUGAAAAAAAAGGAAAGAAGCUAUUCACACAAACAACAAUGCCACUUGAAAAAGAAAAAGAAAAGGAUCACAUUCUCUUUACUGGACAUUUACAAUCCUUGUCUCAAUGUUCUAGUUAGAUUGUGAAAUAUGGAAAAGAAAAAAA